GAUGAACGCUGGCGGCGUGCCUAAUACACGCAAGUCGAGCGAACAGACGAGGAGCUUGCUCCUCUGACGUUAGCGGCGGACGGGUGAGUAACACGUGGAUAACCUACCUAUAAGACUGGGAUAACUUCGGGAAACCGGAGCUAAUACCGGAUAAUAUAUUGAACCGCAUGGUUCAAUAGUGAAAGACGGUUUUGCUGUCACUUGUAGAUGGAUCCGCGCCGCAUUAGCUAGUUGGUAAGGUAACGGCUUACCAAGGCAACGAUGCGUAGCCGACCUGAGAGGGUGAUCGGCCACACUGGAACUGAGACACGGUCCAGACUCCUACGGGAGGCAGCAGUAGGGAAUCUUCCGCAAUGGGCGAAAGCCUGACGGAGCAACGCCGCGUGAGUGAUGAAGGUCUUCGGAUCGUAAAACUCUGUUAUUAGGGAAGAACAAAUGUGUAAGUAACUAUGCACGUCUUGACGGUACCUAAUCAGAAAGCCACGGCUAACUACGUG
rnacentral:rRNA from 1 species